rnacentral:rRNA from 1 species
UACGGAGGGUGCGAGCGUUAAUCGGAAUUACUGGGCGUAAAGCGCACGCAGGCGGUUUGUUAAGCUAGAUGUGAAAGCCCCGGGCUCAACCUGGGAUGGUCAUUUAGAACUGGCAGACUAGAGUCUUGGAGAGGGGAGUGGAAUUCCAGGUGUAGCGGUGAAAUGCGUAGAUAUCUGGAGGAACAUCAGUGGCGAAGGCGACUCCCUGGCCAAAGACUGACGCCGAUGUGCGAAAGUGUGGGUAGCGAACAGG